GGUGAAACCAUAAUACUAUUGCAGAAUGACAAGGAUCUAGGCUAAAACUUUCUCAUAAAACAUGGACAGUUAUCUUCACUGAAGGUGGAGCUGCAUUCCUGCAAAACAUCCUGAUGAGAAGCCUGGCCCUUGAUUGGAAUUAAAGCAGUUUUUCUACUGGAUGAAUGAGAAGAAAGAGGAUGAAGAAGGAGGAGGAGAAGGAAAGGGAGGAAGAGGAAGAGGAGACCAGUAGUUUACUAAUCUCUUUUCUCCGGAUCAAGGAAAUAAACUGAAGACAGGAUUGUAGAGAGGAUUUCUUCAGAGAACCACUAUACUCUGAUCCCCGAAAGACUGGAAAUGCGAGGGGGGUGCUACCCUCAUCACCCGACAUCGAGUACAGCUUAGAGUUAAG
rnacentral:lncRNA from 1 species